rnacentral:rRNA from 1 species
UACGAGCGGCGGACGGGUGAGUAACGCGUGGGUAACCUGCCUCAUACAGGGGGAUAACAGUUGGAAACGGCUGCUAAUACCGCAUAAGCGCACAGUACCGCAUGGUACGGUGUGAAAAACUCCGGUGGUAUGAGAUGGACCCGCGUCUGAUUAGGUAGUUGGUGGGGUAACGGCCUACCAAGCCGACGAUCAGUAGCCGACCUGAGAGGGUGACCGGCCACAUUGGGACUGAGACACGGCCAA